rnacentral:rRNA from 1 species
GGAAGUAAAAGUCGUAAACAAGGUUUCCGUAGGUGAACCUGCGGAAGGAUCAUUACAGAAAUAGGAGAAGGUUGCUUAACUGCAAUCCUUUUCUUUCUACACAUGUGUUUUUCUUUUUUUUGAAAACUUUGCUUUGGUGGGCCCACGGCCUGCCAGAGAUUAAACUCAACCAAAUUUUUAUUUAAUUGUCAACUUGAUUAACUAAUAGUCAAAGCUUUCAACAACGGAUCUCUUGGUUCUCGCGUCGAUGAAGAACGCAGCGAAAUGCGAUAAGUAAUAUGAAUUGCAGAUAUUCGUGAAUCAUCGAAUCUUUGAACGCACAUUGCGCCCUUUGGUAUUCCAAAGGGCAUGCCUGUUUGAGCGUCAUUUCUCCCUCAAACCUUCGGGUUUGGUGUUGAGCGAUACGCUGGGUUUGCUUGAAAGAAAGGCGGAGUAUAAACUAAUGGAUAGGUUUUUUUUUUCCACUCAUUGGUACAAACUCCAAACAUUCUUCCAAAUUCGACCUCAAAUCAGGUAGGACUACCCGCUGAACUCAAGCAUAUCAAUAAGCGGAGGAAAAGAGACCAACAGGGAUUGCCUUAGUAACG